AACCAGGUCUAAACCAGGACUAAACCAGGACUAAACCAGGUCUAAACCAGGACUAAACCAGGACUAAACCAGGUCUAAACCAGUUCUAAACCAGGUCUAAACCAGGUCUAAACCAGGACUAAACCAGGUCUAAACCAGGUCUAAACCAGGUCUAAACCAGGACUAAACCAGGACUAAACCAGGUCUAAACCAGUUCUAAACCAGGUCUAAACCAGGUCUAAACCAGGACUAAACCAGGUCUAAACCAGGACUAAACCAGGACUAAACCAGGUCUAAACCAGGUCUAAACCAGGACUAAACCAGGUCUAAACCAGGUCUAAACCAGGACUAAACCAGGUCUAAACCAGG
ensembl:lncRNA